GGCUGUGUAGUGUAGUGGUUAUCACCCGAGAUUCUGACUUGUUUGGAAUUUCUCGUGACCCAGGUUCGAUCCCUGGCACGGCCU
rnacentral:tRNA from 1 species